rnacentral:rRNA from 1 species
ACAGCCAUACCACAUUGAAAACACCAGUUCUCGUCCGAUCACCGAAGUUAAGCAAAGUCGGGCCCGGUCAGUACUUGGGAGGGUGACCACCUGGGAACACCAGGUGCUGUAGGCU